UCUCAGUGCUUUGGGCAAAACCAUCUUCAAAAAAGGGUGCAAUUUUUUUUUGUGCUAUUUUUGCAAAUACUCUAAAGUGGGGAAGAAGCGUGUGCGAGAGUUUGAUAUGACCUUUGUUGAUCCAGAAGGAGGGAAAUUAAAAUCCAUCCUGUCAAUUGAUGAGCUUUUAUUAAGCACUUCCUAUAUGUCAGGCACUGUGCUAAGUAAUAGGGAUACAAAAAGAAGCAAAAGACAAUUCCCAUCUGUCAAGAGCUUACAACCUACUGGGGCAUCAAAUAAACCAGUAGAUUCAUAUUUUUUGUUGGUGUUUGUCUUUUGUAGGACCAUGACAUCAAGGAAGCGAUGCCCUGACAUACAAGUGACUUGGAUUUAAGGGAGGAAGGACUGUGCAAGGCACUCUUUCCACUGCGCCACCUAACUGCCACUGCCAGAGGAGUACAAGAUGUUUAUUCCCAUGCUUCCAAAAUUGCAAGUGCUCACAUUUCUUCCUGCUUUCAAUCAAUCAAUAAACAUGAAUAAAGCUUUUACUUGUGCCAGGAA